ensembl:snRNA U6 U6 spliceosomal RNA
GCUUGCUUCAGCAGUGUGUAUACUAAAAUUGGAAUGAUACAGAGAAGAUUGAAGGGCAUGGCCUCUGUGCAUGGAUGAUAUAUUAAUUCAUGAAACAUUCUAUACUUUU